rnacentral:rRNA from 1 species
UACGUAGGGGGCAAGCGUUAUCCGGAUUUACUGGGUGUAAAGGGAGCGUAGGUGGCAAGGCAAGUCAGAUGUGAAAACCCGGGGCCCAACCCCGGAACUGCUCUGGAAACUGUGAAGCUGGAGUGCAGGAGAGGUAAGCGGAAUUCCUGGUGUAGCGGUGAAAUGCGUAGAUAUCAGGAGGAACACCGGCGGCGAAGGCGGCUUACUGGACUGUAACUGACGUUGAGGCUCGAAGGCGUGGGGAGCAAACAGG